UACGUAGGGUGCGAGCGUUGUCCGGAAUUAUUGGGCGUAAAGAGCUCGUAGGCGGUCUGUCGCGUCGAUCGUGAAAACUUGGGGCUUAACCCUGAGCUUGCGGUCGAUACGGGCAUGACUGGAGUUCGGCAGGGGAGACUGGAAUUCCUGGUGUAGCGGUGAAAUGCGCAGAUAUCAGGAGGAACACCAGUAGCGAAGGCGGCUCUCUGGACUGUAACUGACACUGAGGCACGAAAGCGUGGGGAGCAAACAGG
rnacentral:rRNA from 1 species